UCAACCUGCUAUCCAAGUCCCACCACCAAAUCCAUCCACCAAGCCAACCACCUGUCACCAUAACCACCAGCCUCUACCAUAACCGCUGCCAUUGCAGUCCCUACACCACCACCACCGCUGCACCACCGAGGAGUCAUUGCAAACAAUGGUGUCAAUGGGAGUCACAAAGUCUGCACACCAACCGGAGGAGUUUGCUCACAUGGUAGUGGAAUCCAGGGUGAAUUUGACCUAACCAACUUCAAAGACGGUGUGAUUUCUUCUGCUUUCAUGGUUGGACUUCUUGUCACAUCUCCCAUAUUUGCAUCAUUGGCCAAGAGGGAAGAGAUUCAAAAAACAGAGGACUUUAAACAACAUGGAUGGAAGCAGAGUUGAAGUCGCCGGAAGAAAAGUUGAAGUCGCCGGAAGCAGAGUUGAAGUCAUCGGAACCGUAGGUGUGUGUUUUGAAUAACAAAUGUUAGUAGGAUUACCGUGUAUUGUCGAUGACUGUGUUUUUAUUGGUUGUAUGUGGUAAUGUGUUUUAUGGUCAGUUUAUGUAGGUUUUAUAUAGUAGUAAUUUGGGUUUGUGGAUGUUUUAUAGAGUAGUAAUUUGGAUGUGCCGGUUGUGUUUUAAAAACUUUAU